CCUACGGGAGGCAGCAGUGGGGAAUUUUGGACAAUGGGCGCAAGCCUGAUCCAGCAAUGCCGCGUGAGUGAAGAAGGCCUUCGGGUUGUAAAGCUCUUUUGUCAGGGAAGAAACGGUGGUUCCUAAUACGGACUACUAAUGACGGUACCUGAAGAAUAAGCACCGGCUAACUACGUGCCAGCAGCCGCGGUAAUACGUAGGGUGCAAGCGUUAAUCGGAAUUACUGGGCGUAAAGCGUGCGCAGGCGGUUAUAUAAGUCAGAUGUGAAAUCCCCGGGCUCAACCUGGGAACUGCAUUUGAGACUGUAUGGCUAGAGUGUGUCAGAGGGGGGUUAGAAUUCCACGUGUAGCAGUGAAAUGCGUAGAUAUGUGGAGGAAUACCGAUGGCGAAGGCAGCCCCCUGGGAUAACACUGACGCUCAUGCACGAAAGCGUGGGGAGCAAACAGGAUUAGAUACCCUGGUAGUCCACGCCCUAAACGAUGUCUACUAGUUGUCGGGACUUAAUUGUCUUGGUAACGCNGCUACGCGUGAGUAGACGCCGUCGGGAGGUACGGUCGCGAGAGUAAACGUACGAAUAGUAAGUUAGUACGGCGUGAGACGUAGACCGACGGACGACCGACGAGGGGAGGUUAGGG
rnacentral:rRNA from 1 species